UGGGGAAUAUUGGGCAAUGGGCGCAAGCCUGACCCAGCAAUGCCGCGUGAAGGAAGAAGGCCCUCGGUUGUAAACUUCUUUUAUCAGGGACGAAGGAUGUGACGGUACCUGAUGAAUAAGCUCCGGCUAACUACGUGCC
rnacentral:rRNA from 1 species